CUUAAAACAAAAUAAUAAAAAACAUAAAAAUUUCUAUAGGUUAAGUUUCAACAACAUUUUAAAUAAUACUUGUAAACAUAAUUUAGAUAUAUGUAUAAUAAGUAUAAAAAAUAAAUUUAUCUAUGUAUUAUAUACAUUGUCUACUAUAUUAUGUGUUUAUAACAGGUAUGCUUUUUUUAAUUAUUACUUUUUAGUUUUUUAUAAAUGUAUUAAAAUGUUAGCGGUUUUUACGGUCAGAUGUAUAUCAAUGGCUAACGCUAUGAUUAGUGCGUAUAAUAGUGUUAGUUAUGUUGGUACUGAAACAAGUGUUGAAAACGAUACAAGUAGUACAGAUAUGACCAAACGAGUUAGGUGUAGAACAAUGGUUUAUAGAAGGGAAAAUAUAUCCGACUUUGAUGGUUAUGAGUACUAUUUAGGCGGUACUACUAGCAUAAGUAAUAGUAGAAAAAGAAUAAGUAGUGGUAGGAAGGACGCCUUCAACAAAAACGCGCGCAUGCCUCGAAGACAUUCCAAAGUAUGUAAUAGUAGCAAAGUCAAGUUUACAAAUAAAAACUUUAAAAUGAUAAAUCGACUCGAAAAAUGGUUUGUCGAAAGCGAUAUUACAAUGAUAAAACAUUAUAUGAAUAAUUAUAUUAAUAAAAAACAAAUAUCUAUCAAAAGAGAAUUAGAAAAUAACAAUAUCUCCAACUACGAUUUUUUAGAACAGUAUAAAACAUAUAUUAAUAAUGUUGUAUUGUUAUAUACAGUUAUUAACAUAAUGAUAUUAAUUUAUAAUAAUAUAAAUUUGAACAAGCAACAAUUUAUAAAAAAAAAAAUUGAUAAAUUUAAUAAAUAUAAUCAAUGUUUAAUAAAAAAGAUGGUCCAUAUUUAUUUUUUUAAUAUUCCUUAUUUAUGUGACUAUUUAUUUGUAGUGUUAAAUUUUUUUGACAUUUUUAGUAAUACAUUUAUGAACUUAAAUUAUAGUAACUUUAAUUUUUUAAAAGAUAUCAAACAUGUUUUUAAAAAUACUUAUAUGUAUUUCUUUUCUAAUACUAUGAAUAAAGUACAACACAUGAAAACGUAUUAUCACUUAAAUUUUGAUAAAAAUGAUAAUGUACAUUUUCAUAAUUAUAAAAAAAAAACGGACUCUUUGUUUGAGAAGGUGAAAGAGGAACAAUAUAAUAAUAAUAAUAAUAAUAAUAAUAAUAAUAAUAAUAAAAAUCAAAAAUAUAAUAAUGAAGUUUUAAAUGGACAAGGGGAAGUUAAGUUAGCACCUGAUGAACGAAUUGACGAAGACAAUCUAAGUAAUAAAACGAUAUCUCAAAAAGCAUGCAUCAAUUACAACAUUAAAAGAACAAAUAAACUAUCCUAUGUAACAAACACAUAUAAAAAAAGCGAAACAGAAGAUUCUUUAUUAAGUGAUUAUAAUGAUUAUAUUUAUAAAAAUGUUUAUCUCGAGUUAGACA
rnacentral:lncRNA from 1 species